AUUAGAAUGAUGACAAAUAUCUCUCAAAUACAUCUCAAUUCAAUCUUAAUUUAAUCCUAGUUAAAAUCCUAUUGGAUUUCAUUCAAACUUUAGGCCAAAACUAAUUAAAACUUAAACUCUAAACAAACCCUAAUAAAAUCCUAAAUCCUAAAUCAAACUCUCAACCCUAAACCAAAUCCUAACCAAAUCUUAAACCAAAUUCUAUCCAAAUCCUAAACCAAACCUUAAUCAAAUCCUAAACCCUAAACCAAACUCUAAACAAACCUUAAACCAAAUCCCAAUCAAAUCCUAAACUAAAUCCUAAAAAAAUCCUAAACCAAACCCUAAACAAACCCUAAACCAAACCCUAAACAAACCCUAAACCAAACCCCAAUCAAACUUUAAACCAAAUCCUAAUAAAAUCUUAAAUCAAAUCUUAAAUCCUAAAUCAAACCCUAACCAAAUCCUAAACCAAAUCCUAAAUUAAAUCCUAACCAAACUCUAAACCCUAAAUCAAAUCCUAAC
rnacentral:lncRNA from 1 species